UACGGGGGGGGUAAGCGUUGUUCGGAAUUACUGGGCGUAAAGGGCUCGUAGGCGGCCAACUAAGUCAUACGUGAAAUCCCUCAGCUUAACUGGGGAACUGCGUGUGAUACUGGAUGGCUUGGAUUUGGGAGAGGGAUGCGGAAUUCCAGGUGUAGCGGUGAAAUGCGUAGAUAUCUGGAGGAAUACCGGUGGCGAAGGCGGCAUCCUGGACCGAGAUUGACACUGAGGAGCGAAAGCCAGGGGAGCAAACGGG
rnacentral:rRNA from 1 species